rnacentral:rRNA from 1 species
AUGCACGCUGGCGGCGUGCCUAAUACAUGCCAGUCGCGCGAACAGACGAGGAGCUUGCUCCUCUGACGUUAGCGGCGGACGGGUGAGUAACACGUGGAUAACCUACCUAUAAGACUGGGAUAACUUCGGGAAACCGGAGCUAAUACCGGAUAACAUGUUGAACCGCAUGGUUCAACAGUGAAAGACGGUCUUGCUGUCACUUAUAGAUGGAUCCGCGCCGCAUUAGCUAGUUGGUAAGGUAACGGCUUACCAAGGCAACGAUGCGUAGCCGACCUGAGAGGGUGAUCGGCCACACUGGAACUGAGACACGGUCCAGACUCCUACGGGAGGCAGCAGUAGGGAAUCUUCCGCAAUGGGCGAAAGCCUGACGGAGCAACGCCGCGUGAGUGAAGAAGGUCUUCGGAUCGUAAAACUCUGUUAUUAGGGAAGAACAAAUGUGUAAGUAACUAUGCACGUCUUGACGGUACCUAAUCAGAAAGCCACGGCUAACUACGUG